GACGAGCGCUGGCGGCGUGCUUAACACAUGCAAGUCGAACGGUGAAGCGCCUUCCUUUUUGGUGGGUGUGGAUGAGUGGCGAACGGGUGAGUAACACGUGAGUAACCUGCCCCCUUCUUCUGGAUAACCGCAUGAAAGUGUGGCUAAUACGGGAUAUUCUGGGUCUGUCGCAUGAUGGGUCUGGGAAAGAUAUUGUUUCGGUGGGGGAUGGGCUCGCGGCCUAUCAGCUUGUUGGUGGGGUGAUGGCCUACCAAGGCGGUGACGGGUAGCCGGCCUGAGAGGGUGGACGGUCACACUGGGACUGAGACACGGCCCAGACUCCUACGGGAGGCAGCAGUGGGGAAUAUUGCACAAUGGGCGCAAGCCUGAUGCAGCGACGCCGCGUGAGGGAUGGAGGCCUUCGGGUUGUGAACCUCUUUCGCAAGUGAAGCAGGCCUGCCUCGUUUGUGGGUGGGUUGACGGUAGCUGGAUAAGAAGCGCCGGCUAACUACGUG
rnacentral:rRNA from 1 species